rnacentral:rRNA from 1 species
CUCCCGUUGAUCCUGCCGGACCCGACUGCUAUCGGAUUGAGAUUUAGCCAUGCGAGUCGAACGUCCCCCUGUUGCGGGGGGCGUGGCGUACGGCUCAGUAACACGUAGUCAACCUGCCCUGGAGACAAGGACAACCCCGGGAAACUGGGAUUAAUCCUUGAUAGGUCAUCUCAUCUGGAAGGAGAGAUGGCUUAAAGGGGUACGCGGGCUUCUUCCGCGAAUCUGCUCCAGGAUGGGACUGCGUCCGAUCAGGCUGUUGGCGGGGUAAUGGCCCACCAAACCUGUAACCGGUACGGGCCUUGAGAGAGGUGGCCCGGAGAUGGACACUGAGAGAAGGGUCCAGGUCCUACGGGGCGCAGCAGGCGCGAAACCUUCGCAAUGCGCGAAAGCGUGACGAGGUUAAUCCGAGUGACUCCCGCUGAGGGGGUCUUUUGUCAGCUGUAAAUAGGCAGGCGAAUAAGGGGAGGGCAAGCCUGGUGUCAGCCGCCGCGGUAAUACCAGCUCCUCGAGUGGUCGGGGCGAUUAUUGGGCCUAAAGCAUCCGUAGCCGGUUCCGUAGGUCCUCUGUUAAAUCCAACCGCUUAACGGUUGACCUGCAGAGGAUACCGCGGGACUAGGAGGCGGGAGAGGCGGACGGUACUCCGCGUGUAGGGGUAAAAUCCUUUGAUCCGCGGAAGACCACCAGUGGCGAAGGCGGUCCGCCAGAACGCGCUCGACGGUGAGGGAUGAAAGCUGGGGGAGCGAACCGGAUUAGAUACCCGGGUAGUCCCAGCCGUAAACGAUGCUAGCUAGAUGAUUCAUUCGCAAGUCGCGAAUGAAGUGUCGCAGGGAAGCCGUUAAGCUAGCCGCCUGGGGAGUACGGUCGCAAGACUGAAACUUAAAGGAAUUGGCGGGGGAGCA